GAGUGGUUCCAGCUCUUCAGAUGUCUCCAUCAGCUAACCGCAGCCUCAGCCCAAACAUGUGAAGCAUUCUGACUGGCCUGGCACGGCCUCCAUCCCCCCUCCUGCUAAUAACUGCAAUGUGUUACAAUAAAGCAAUCCACACUGUCUGUCUGUCUGCCUGCCAGUCAGUCUCACACACACACAUACACACACACACACAUACACACUCACACACACAGACACACACACACGCACACACAAUCAGAGGACAGGGGGGAAAAUUAAAAAAUCGUAUCCAAAACCACAGCCUUUAAUGGGAACCACUCAUUAAUUUCUAAUACGCUAGCGUUUAGCGUUCCUGAGCGGGAAGUAAGCCUGACGCAUCUGUGUGCGCUUUAAGGCGUCUGCAAUGUGUUCUCUGAAACGCUCGAGGACACAUUCACAGCAUUGCUGAAACAUAUUGGUGGUUAGACAUGACGUUUAAUGCACAUAUCCAGUCUGGUUUUGCAGUAUAGACCAGGUGCUUACAUCCUCUUUCCAUCAUGUCAACAUAAACAUCCCAACACGGUCCAAACCAACCUAAUCUCUUCUACUUUUCUCUUGCUACGAGCAGCUUGUUUCUUCACCAGCACUGAACUCGUCAGUCAACCUGAGGUCUCCUUACUCAUUCUUACUCAUGUACAAACUGAAGUACAGAAGCCACUGAUGACUGACAGAUGUCAUCUUUCCUCAGCACUUGCGUGUGAGAUCUGCUGUUUUGCCGGAGAUUCCGUGAGUUCCACGGCAACUGUCCUGUAGUUACACAAGCGACUGUAAACAAAGAGGACGUACCUGGAUCAGAUGCAAGCAAUUACCUGACUAGGGGCUAACCGCGUGUGAGGGCUAUCGUAUGACAUAAGGUUUACAGUAGGAGGUGUUCUGUGGAGUGUAUGCACUCCUGGACUGUUGAGUGGAGUGAGCCUCUCUCAAGUGGAAAAGCAGCAUGAGCGAAAUGUUGUUGCACUCUCAUGGUCGUUCACAACGCUGUUGUCAACCAGACGAUUCAAAAAGCAGGGCUGAUAAUCAGAACCUCUCCAGAGUGACUCAGAGUUGGGAAAGAGAAAUGUGUCAAAUUAAAAGUGCAAGAAAACAAAAAUGACCUUUAACCCCAAAAGGCUGUCCACAUCCUUAACUGCAUGGAUGGCAUUGCAAGAAAGGGCAAAAUCAGUGAGCAUGUGCGCUGCCAAGUGAAAGCACAUAUUAUUACCCAAAUCUCUUAGUAAGUAAACACUGAAGAAGCAUCAGGCAACACUAACACUGGGCCAAACACCUGAUGGAUCCUCCUUGACCAACACAUCUUCAGCUACAGCUAUAGCUUCACAUCCACCCUCCACCUCUAUAGUAAAGUAGCCCCUUCCGCCUUCACUACGGGGGGUGGACAUGACUGCUGCCCUGUAUUUAAUAACCCCUGGAUGAAUCAUAUCCAGUGUUAAGGCAGAGAUGUUUGGGGGGGGCAGCAGUUGGCCUCACAUAAGGAGAAGGCUGGAGCUUGCUUCGAGAACACCCAACUCACUGUCAGCUGGAAAUUAUAAGCGUCUAAAAGUUUAGCGAAAGAUUUAAGCAAUUACAACAUAAUUAUAACACAUGUACGUUCUUAUCACGCUGGUCACUUGA
ensembl:lncRNA